rnacentral:rRNA from 1 species
UACGGAGGGUGCAAGCGUUAUCCGGAUUUAUUGGGUUUAAAGAGUACGUAGGCGGCUUUAUAAGUCAGUGGUGAAAUCCUAUAGCUUAACUAUAGAACUGCCAUUGAUACUGUGAAGCUUGAGUAAAGAAAAGGUAGGCGGAAUUUAUGGUGUAGCGGUGAAAUGCUUAGAUACCAUAAGGAACACCGAUAGCGAAGGCAGCUUACUGGUCUUUCACUGACGCUGAGGUACGAAAGCGUGGGUAGCAAACAGG